AGAGCGCAAGGGGAAUGCCUUGGCAUCAGGAGCCGAUGAAGGACGUGACAAGCUGCGAUAAGUCUGGGGGAGCUGCACAUAAGCAUUGAUCCCGGAAUUUCCGAAUGGGGAAACCCGGCGGAGCAAUACUCCGUCAACCUGCGUUGAACAAAAUAGGCGUAGGUAGGGAACCGCCUGAACUGAAACAUCUAAGUAGGGCGAGGAAGAGAAAUCAACAGAGAUUCCGCUAGUAGUGGCGAGCGAACGCGGAAGAGGGCAAACCGGAGGAUUUAUUCUCCGGGGUUGAGGACCGACGCACGAUGCAAUAGGUUAGCUGAACGGCAUGGGAAGGCCGACCAGAGCGGGUGAUAGUCCCGUAAGCGAAAACCGAUUUGUGUUAGUUGGUAUCCAGAGUACCGCAGGACACGUGAAACCCUGUGGGAAACUGGGGGGACCACCCUCCAACCCUAAAUACUACUUGAUGACCGAUAGAGGAGCAGUACCGUGAGGGAAAGGUGAAAAGGACCCCGGGAGGGGAGUGAAAGAGAACCUGAAACCUUGUGCUUACAAGCAGUCAAAGCACGUUAAAGUGUGAUGACGUACUUUUUGUAGAACGGUCCGGCGAGUUAUAGUAACGAGCAAGCUUAAGGUAUUCAGUACCGGAGGCGAAGCGAGAGCGAGUCUGAAUAGGGCGUAAAGUUCGUUGCCAUAGACCCGAAACCGGGUGACCUAUCCAUGAGCAGGCUGAAGUGAGAGUAAAAUCUCAUGGAGGGCCGAACCGACCCCCGUUGCAAUGGUGGCGGAUGACUUGUGGAUAGCGGAGAAAUUCCAAUCGAACUCGGAGAUAGCUGGUUCUCCCCGAAAUAGCUUUAGGGCUAGCGUCGGAUAUGUGUAGUGGAGGUAGAGCACUGAAUGGGCUAGGGGGCAUAUCGCUUACCGAACCUUAUCAAACUCCGAAUGCCAUAUACAUUUAGUCCGGCAGUCAGACUACGAAUGAUAAGAUCCGUGGUCAAAAGGGAAACAGCCCAGAUCGUCAGCUAAGGUCCCAAAGUGUAAGUUAAGUGGAAAAGGAUGUGGGAUUUCUAAGACAACUAGGAUGUUGGCUUAGAAGCAGCCACUCAUUUAAAGAGUGCGUAAUAGCUCACUAGUCGAGUGAUUGUGCGCCGAAAAUGUAACGGGGCUAAAAUUCAUACCGAAGCUUAGGAAUGAUAGUAAUAUUGUUGGUAGAUGAGCGUUGUGUAAGUCUGCGAAGCUACACCGAAAGGAGUAGUGGAGAUAUCACAAGUGAGAAUGCCGGAAUGAGUAGCGAGAAUUAUGUGAGAAUCAUAAUGGUCGAAAAUCUAAGGUUUCUUGAGGAAGGUUCGUCCGCUCAAGGUAAGCCGGGAGCUAAGGCGAGGCCGAGAGGCGUAGUCGAUGCACAUACGGUAAAGAUUCCGUAGCCACCGAAGUCGUUAAAUACAGGGACACAGGAACAUAGCCUAACCCCACCGUUGGUUGAGUGGGGCGUAAGGGAGCGAAAAUUAGUAGCGAAGUAGGUGAUUGUACACUGGCGAGAAAAGCUGUAUGGAUUGACAAGGUGCCCGUACCGCAAACCGACACAGGUAGAUGAGGAGAGAAUCCUAAGACCAGCGGGAGAAGUGUUGUUAAGGAACUCGGCAAAAUGACCCCGUAACUUCGGGAUAAGGGGAGCCUACGAGAGUAGGCCGCAGAGAAUAGUCUCAAGCGACUGUUUAGCAAAAACACAGGUCUAUGCUAAAUCGAAAGAUGAUGUAUAUGGGCUGACGCCUGCCCGGUGCUGGAAGGUUAAGGGGAAGUGUUAGAGCAAUCGAAGCACUGAACUUAAGCCCCAGUAAACGGCGGCCGUAACUAUAACGGUCCUAAGGUAGCGAAAUUCCUUGUCAGGUAAGUUCUGACCCGCACGAAAGGCGUAACGAUUUGGGCGCUGUCUCAGCUGUAGACUCGGUGAAGUCUUAGUACCUGUGAAGAUGCAGGUUACCCGCGACUAGACGGAAAGACCCCAUGGAGCUUCACUGCAGGUUGAUAUUGGGAUUUGAUGCAGCAUGUACAGGAUAGGUAGGAGGCAAAGAGAUGGAUACGCCAGUAUUCAAGGAGCCGCUGUUGGGAUACUACCCCUGUUGUAUUGGAUUUCUAACCGGACGACGUAGAGCCGUUGACGGGACAGUGUCAGUCGGGCAGUUUGACUGGGGCGGUCGCCUCCCAAAGAGUAACGGAGGCGCCCAAAGAUACCCUCAGCUUGGAUGGAAACCAAGCGCAGAGUGCAAAGGCAAAAGGGUGUUUGACUGCGAGACCCACAAGUCGAGCAGGGACGAAAGUCGGGCUUAGUGAUCCGGCGGUGCUGAAUGGAAAGGCCGUCGCUCAACGGAUAAAAGCUACCCUGGGGAUAACAGGCUGAUCUCCCCCAAGAGUCCACAUCGACGGGGAGGUUUGGCACCUCGAUGUCGGCUCAUCGCAUCCUGGGGCUGUAUUCGGUCCCAAGGGUUUGGCUGUUCGCCAAUUAAAGCGGUACGCGAGCUGGGUUCAGAACGUCGUGAGACAGUUCGGUCCCUAUCUGUCGUGGGCGCAGGAUAUUUGAGGAGCGCUGUCCUUAGUACGAGAGGACCGGGAUGGACGCACCGCUGGUGCACCAGUUGUCACGCCAGUGGCACAGCUGGGCAGCUAUGUGCGGAACGGAUAAACGCUGAAGGCAUCUAAGCGUGAAGCCGCCCUUAAGAUAAGAUAUCCCUUCUGUUUACAGAGUAAGACCCCUUGAAGACUACAAGGUUGAUAGGCUCAAAGUGUAAGCACGGUGACGUGUUUAGCUAGCGAGUACUAAUCGGUCGAGGGCUUAACCU
rnacentral:rRNA from 1 species